GUGAGUAACACGUGGGCAACCUGCCUGUAAGACUGGGAUGGACGCACCGCUGGUGUACCAGUUGUCUUGCCAAAGGCAUCGCUGGGUAGCUAUGUGCGGACGGGAUAAGUGCUGAAAGCAUCUAAGCAUGAAGCCCCCCUCAAGAUGAGAUUUCCCAUAGCGCAAGCUAGUAAGAUCCCUGAAAGAUGAUCAGGUUGAUAGGUCAGAGGUGGAAGCGUGGUAACAUGUGGAGCUGACUGAUACUAAUCGAUCGA
rnacentral:ncRNA from 1 species